rnacentral:rRNA from 1 species
GCCCCUUAGUGCUGCAGCUAACGCAUUAAGCACUCCGCCUGGGGAGUACGGUCGCAAGACUGAAACUCAAAGGAAUUGACGGGGGCCCGCACCAGGGGUGGAGCAUGUGGUUUAAUUCGAAGCAACGCGAAGAACCUUACCAGGUCUUGACAUCCUCUGACAACCCUAGAGAUAGGGCUUUCCCUUCGGGGACAGAGUGACAGGUGGUGCAUGGUUGUGCGUCAGCUCGUGUCGUGAGAUGUUGGGUUAAGUCCCGCAACGAGCGCAACCCUUGAUCUUAGUUGCCAGCAUUCAGUUGGGCACUCUAAGGUGACUGCCGGUGACAAACCGGAGGAAGGUGGGGAUGACGUCAAAUCAUCAUGCCCCUUAUGACCUGGGCUACACACGUGCUACAAUGGACAGAACAAAGGGCUGCGAGACCGCAAGGUUUAGCCAAUCCCACAAAUCUGUUCUCAGUUCGGAUCGCAGUCUGCAACUCGACUGCGUGAAGCUGGAAUCGCUAGUAAUCGCGGAUCAGCAUGCCGCGGUGAAUACGUUCCCGGGCCUUGUACACACGG